rnacentral:lncRNA from 1 species
CCUGUCUGCUAAAUUAUUAACUCGGCUCUGUUCAAUGUCAUUGCGAAUGCAGGUGGGGCAGUGUCGUAUAAACUACCCAGGAAGCUGGAUAUAUCUUGGAGAGAAACUAGCAGAUAUCAUAAUGUGAAGUCAAUACUUGCGCCAUUUGGUGGAUUAUGUGUGCUGACUGCCUUAACUUCUUUUAGAGAUACUUCAUGCUGACUAAUAGGUGUAUAGGUUUGUUCUUAGAUCUAACUAAGCCUCCUUUUGAUAUUUCGGAACACAAGCAUGUCCAAGUUUUGGGGUAGAAAAUUUUGACAGCAUAUACUGUAUGUAGAAGAUAGUCACAUGCCAGAGUUAGCUGAUACAGUACAUCAUACACAGUUGUGUAUCUUCCUCGAUGACAGAAUCUCACUGACUGUAAGGUUCAGUGCAAGUAUAAUGUUGCCUAUAUGUAUAGAAGAAUCCGUUGAGACCCACAAAGAGAAACAGCCAUUUUGUGCUAUGUGUGAUAUUUGCAUAAUAAUGUAAUACUUUGCCUCGACUUCUCACAUAGGCUCCAACGCACGUCGCACGGGUCGAUUCCUCGGGGCUUGGAGCAAGAACCUUUUGUAAAAGCUUCAGCUUCACAUGGCUUCAAGGCCAUUCUUCAUUUUGACCCGGCAAUGAGACACUUCCUACUAUCACCGGAAGAGAGACAUUCGGACACUUUGAGGGAGAUGCUAGCACAAGAUUUUACCGUACAAAUGCAAGAAGGCGGAAGAACUUCAUCCAUGGAUUGAGGCGUCAUAAUGGUUGGUGACAUCGCACAACGGUGAUGGUGAGAUCAAGGAAGAAGCAGCGUCCUUGUAUUAAUAACCUUCAUCUAGGGAGAUUUUCCACAUCCACAGAGAUCAAGAAAGAAGCAGCGUCCUUGUAUUAAUAACCUUCACCUAGGGAGAUUUUCCCCCAUCCACACAAAUGCAAGAAGGCGGAAGUACUUCAUCCAUGGACUGUCGAUUGUGGCAUGAAAAUGGUCGAUGACAUUGCACAAGGAAAAGGGAACCAUGAAAGGAAUCAUGGGGAGGGUUAUCUCUCACUGGACUAAUUUCAAUUGGAAGGUUCUAAACAUCAUGGGUAUCCUUGAUGGCAUUGACAACCUUUUAACGAAUUCUUGCGGCAUAAGCAAUUACCCUCUCAUAAGGCAUUGGGUUAGAUGGCUUCAUUGUGGAGUUCCUUAAAUCUUGUAAGGACAUCAUCAAAGUUGUAAUGAUGCACAUCAUUAACCAUUUCUCAGACCUCCAUGUGGUUCAUUUCUAGUGGUUUACUACCUGAGCGGCCUCAGAAUCUUCCACCUAGCAAAGUCUACUUCAUGCUCUAUGGCCUCAAC